rnacentral:rRNA from 1 species
AGCUCCAAUAGCGUAUAUUAAAGUUGCUGCAGUUAAAAAGCUCGUAGUUGGAUUUGUGGCGCGAUCGUCCGGCGGGGCUCCUUCAUUGGGGCCGUUUGUCUGGUUUUUCGAUCGCUCCAUUCUCGGGUAGUGUGUCGCUGGCAUUAGGUUGUCGGCUUCUUCACGCCCGUCGUCUACUGUGAAAAAAUUAGAGUGUUCAAAGCAGGCUUAGGCCGUUGGAUACAUUAGCAUGGAAUAAUGAGAUAGGGCCACGACGGUCUAUUUUGUUGGUUUGCACGUUGUGGUAAUGAUUAACAGGAACGGUUGGGGGUAUUCGUAUUCAAUUGUCAGAGGUGAAAUUCUUGGAUUUAUGGAAGACGAACUACUGCGAAAGCAUUUACCAAGGAUGUUUUCAUUAAUC